CCUGAUUUGAUGCGUAUCAUAGCACUGCACAUGGAAUGUGAUGGGAUCUUGUCAUUUUGAGUUAUGAUUUUACGUGUGGGCAUUAAGUGUUGUGCAGAGAUACAGACUAGCCUUCCGGAGUCACUUCUGACAGUGGUGCUUUCUGGUAGCUGGAAACUAGUUUUGCAGAAGAUUGCCCUGAACUGUAGGCAUAUCUGGAGGCAAGGAUGAGUAGUGAAGUAGGAACAAGCAGCAGACACAUUCAGUGGGCUAGAAGCCUCCAGACUUGCACUUUUACCUGUAUGGUGCAUGGAUUAUGUGGGAAAGAUGGACUUAACCUCAGAAGUGUAUUUAACUCUGGAUGUUGUCUUGGAAAGUAUUGACCAGGGAGAGCUAAAGAGAGGCUUUUAAGAUCAAGUUACCAUCACCAAAAAUCUCAGCAACAUAGAACUCCAAUUCCUGGUAUAGAGCUGUCAGUUCAAUGACUAAGUCAGAUGCUAAGUACAAUAAUUGCUUCUUGCCGUGCUACAGACUCUAAAAUCAAUUUAUUCUGAUUAUAAACCACCAUCUUCGUAACAUACACUUUAAUUACAUAUAUAUUUUAAUUUUGGAAAACCACAUACAUCUGUAGGUUAAUUCUGCUACUUUCAUGAGUGGUUUUUGACUGGUAAAAUAGGACUAUUGAAGCCACUUGGAAAGCUUUGAAAUAUCUGGUCUGGGUAUUCUAGUCUUGGAAACAAUGAGAGGAAAGAAGCUCUUGGGCAACUCUACGGCAUUUGAAUUCUUGGGUAAUAGAUGGAAAACCCAGGGAAUCUGAAUGUGUAGUAAUGCUUUUGUAAACUGUAGUUUUGUAGGAAAAAGAAAGUGUAAACAUAUCUUUUGUAGAGCAAAAUAGCUUCAAACAGACUCAAAACAGCUUUACAGUGUAUAACAGAAACGUCUCAGCACUUCAGUGGUGCUUGAACCUACAGGCUAAUAUUUCUUUAGUGUCAAAUCGUUGUACAUUUAGUUCAAAUGGAAACAUUACUAUUUCUGACAUUUACAGUUAAUAUGUUUUGUUGUAUACCAAGGCAGGGAUCUUUUCAAAUAAAC
rnacentral:lncRNA from 1 species